rnacentral:rRNA from 1 species
GAUGAACGCUGGCGGCGUGCCUAAUACAUGCAAGUCGAGCGAACAGAUGAGGAGCUUGCUCCUCUGACGUUAGCGGCGGACGGGUGAGUAACACGUGGAUAACCUACCUAUAAGACUGGGAUAACUUCGGGAAACCGGAGCUAAUACCGGAUAAUAUAUUGAACCGCAUGGUUCAAUAGUGAAAGACGGUUUUGCUGUCACUUAUAGAUGGAUCCGCGCCGCAUUAGCUAGUUGGUAAGGUAACGGCUUACCAAGGCAACGAUGCGUAGCCGACCUGAGAGGGUGAUCGGCCACACUGGAACUGAGACACGGUCCAGACUCCUACGGGAGGCAGCAGUAGGGAAUCUUCCGCAAUGGGCGAAAGCCUGACGGAGCAACGCCGCGUGAGUGAUGAAGGUCUUCGGAUCGUAAAACUCUGUUAUUAGGGAAGAACAAAUGUGUAAGUAACUAUGCACGUCUUGACGGUACCUAAUCAGAAACCCACGGCUAACUACGUG